rnacentral:rRNA from 1 species
GGUUAAGCAACUAAGCGUACACGGUGAAUGCCACGGCGGUGAAGGCGAUGAAGAACGUGCCCAAUGCUGCGAUAGCGCCGGUAGGUGAUAUGAACCGUUAUAACCGGCGAUACCCAGGCCGGGGCCCAGUGGCGACUCGUCACACUAUCGUACUGAAUCCAUAGGUUAAUGAGGCGAACCGGGGAACUGAAACAUCUCUAAGUACCCAGGAAAGAAAUCAACCGAGAUUCCCCAGUAGCGGCGAGCGAACGGGAGAGCAGAGCGAUCAGCAUGUGUGUUAGUGGAAGCGUCAGGCGCGCGAUACAGAGUGACAGCCGUACACAAAAAGCGCAUGUGCUGUGAGCUCCGAUAGUAGGAAGGCGGAGACGUGGUACAUCACUGUCGCAGAAUAUGGGGACCAAUCACUCCAAGGCUAAAUACUCUGACUGACCGAUAGUGAACCAGUACCGUGAGGAAGGCGAAAAAAAGAACCCCGGCGAGGCGAAAAGAACCUGAAACCGUGGCCACGUACAAGCGGUAAGGGCACAGGUUUACCUGUGUGACUGCGUACCUUUGUAUAAUGGUCAGCGACAUAUUCUGUAGCAGGUUAACCGUAUAGAGGCCGGAGGAAACCGGGAGAUGUAGUGAGCGUUAAGUUGCAGGGUAUAGACCCGAAACCCAUUGAUCUAGCCAUGGGCAGGUUGAAGGUUGGGUAACACUAACUGGAGGACCGAACCGACUAAUGUUGAAAAUUGGCCGGAUGACCUGUGGCUGGGGUGAAAGGCCAAUCAAGCCGGGAGAUAGCUGGUUCUCCCGAAAGCUAUUUAGGUAGCGCCUCGUGAAUUCAUCUCGGGGUAGAGCACUGUUUCGGCUAGAGGGGCCAUCGGCUUACCAACCCGAUGCAAGCUGCGAAUACCGGAGAUAUUUAUCACAGGAAGACACGGCAGGGUGCUAGCGUCCGUCGUGAAAGAGGAAACGAAAGCAGACCGCCAGCUAAGUUAAGUCAUGGUUAAGUGAAACGAUGUGGGAAGGCAGACGGCGAGGAUGUUGGCUUAGGCAACCAUCAUUUAAAGAAAGCGUAAUAGCUACACUGUGGUCGAGUCGGCCUGCGCGGAGAAGAUAAUAACGAGGGCUAAACCAUGCACCGAAGCUGCGGCGGCGAACGUAUCACUAAAAGCGAUUCAAGCGGAUGACGAUUGGCGAGCAAGCGACGUCAAUAUACAAAGUCGGUCGGUUUAAGGACCGUUCGUUGAGUAGGAACGUUCUGUAAAGCCUGCGAAGGUGGCCUGUGAGGGUUGCUGGAGGUAUCAGAAGUGCGAAUGCUGUUAUAAGUAACGAUAAAGCACGGGCGGCCCGCGCUCGCCGGAACCAAGGGUUCCUGUCCAACGUUAAUCGGGGCGGGGUGAGUCGACCCCUAAGGCGAAGGCCGAAAGGCGUAGUCGAUGGGAAGCAGGUUAUAUUCCCGUACUUGGUGUUACUGCGAAGGGGACGGAGAAGGCUAUGUUGGCCGGGCGACGGUUUGACCGGAACAGCGAUGUAGGUGUGUAUUCCGGUAAAUCCGGUUCACUUUAACACUGAGGCGGCGUGACGACGAGGCGCACUACGGUGCUGAAGCAGCAAAAUACUCUUACCUUCAGGAAAACCUCUAGCGUAGGUAACAUCAAAUCGUACCCCAAACCGACACAGGUGGUCAGGUAGAAUACCAAGGCGCGAGAGAACUCGGGUGAAGGAACUAGGCAAAAAUGGUGCCACGUAACUUCGGAAAGCACGCUGACAUGUAGGUGAUGAUUUACUCAUGGAGCUGAAGUCAGUCGAAUACCGGCUGCUUCGCUGUUUUAAUAAAACGGCACCAUUACCUUACGAAAGUGGACGUAUACGAUUGUGACGCCUGCCCGGUGCGGAAGGUUAAUUGAUGGGGUCGGCGCGCAAGCGAAGCUCCCUGAUCGAAGCCCCGGUAAAGCGGCGGCCGUAACUAUAUAACAGUCCUAAGGUAGCGAAAUUCGCUUGUCGGGUAAGUUCCGACCUGCACGAAUGGCGUAAUGAUGGCGGGCUGUCUCCACGAGACUCAGUGAAGUGAACUCGCUGUGAAGAUGCGUGUACCCGCGGCAAGACGGAAAGACGUGAACGCGCACUAUGGCUUGACACUGAACAUUGUGGGCAGUGUGUAGCCAGGAUAUUAGGUGGGCUUUGAAGUGGCGGACGCCAGUCCAUGGAGCCGACAGCGAAAUACCACCGCUGUGUUUGAUGUUCUAACGUGGACCCGUAAUCCGGGUUGCGGACAGUGUCUGGUGGGUAGUUUGACGGGGCGGUCUCACUCUAAAAGAGUAACGGAGGGAGCACGAAGGUUGGCUAAUCUGGUCGGACAUCAGGAGGUUAGUGCAAUGGCAUAAGCCAGCUUGACUGCGGCAUGACGGCGCGAGCGGUGCAGCAGGUAUGAAGUGAUCCGAGGUGGUUCUGAAUGGAAGGGCCAUCGCUCAACGGAUCAAAGGUACUCCGGGGAUAACAGGCUGAUACCGCCAAGAGUUCAUAUCGACGGCGGUGUUUGGCUCGAUGUCGGCUCAUCAUCCUGGGGCUGUGGUAGGUCAGGGUAUGGCUGUUCGCCAUUUAAAGUGGUACGCGAGCUGGGUUUAGAACGUCGUGAGACAGUUCGGUCCCUAUCUGCCGUGGGCGCUGGAGAACUGAGGGGGGCUGCUCCUAGUACGAGAGGACCGGGUGGACGCAUCACUGGUGUUCGGGUUGUCACGUACUUAAUGGCACUGCCCGGUAGCUAAAUACGGAAGAGAUAAGUGCUGAAAGCAUCUAAGCGCGAAACUUGCCCGAGAUAUGAGUUCUCCCCUGAGACUUAGAGUCUCCUGAAGGAACGGUGAAGACGACGACGUUAGGCAGGCCGGGUGUGUAAGCGCGAAAGCGUGCGUUGUUUAACCGGUACUAAUGAACCGUGAGGCUUAACCUU